GGCUCAGAUUGAACGCUGGCGGCAGGCCUAACACAUGCAAGUCGAGCGGAAACGACAACAAAGAUUCUUCGGAUGAUUUGUUGGGCGUCGAGCGUAGGACGGGAGAGUAAUGCUUAGGAAUUUGCCCAGUCGAGGGGGACAACAGUUGGAAACGACUGCUAAUACCGCAUACGCCCUACGGGGGAAAGAGGGGGAUGCUUCGGCACCUUUCGCGAUUGGAUAAGCCUAAGUGAGAUUAGCUAGAUGGUGAGGUAAUGGCUCACCAUGGCGACGAUCUCUAGCUGGUUUGAGAGGAUGAUCAGCCACACUGGAACUGAGACACGGUCCAGACUCCUACGGGAGGCAGCAGUGGGGAAUAUUGCACAAUGGGCGCAAGCCUGAUGCGGCCAUGCCGCGUGUAUGAAGAAAGGCAUUCGGGUUGUAAAGUACUUUCAGCGAGGAGGAAGGGUUAACGGUUAAAACCCGUUAGCUGUAACGUUUACUCGCAGAAGAAGCACCGGCUAACUCCGUGCCAGCAGCCGCGGUAAUACGGAGGGUGCGAGCGUUAAUCGGAAUUACUGGGCGUAAAGCGCAUGCAGGCGGUCUGUUAAGCGAGAUGUGAAAGCCCCGGGCUUAACCUGGGAACUGCAUUUCGAACUGGCAGACUAGAGUCUUGUAGAGGGAGGUAGAAUUUCAGGUGUAGCGGUGAAAUGCGUAGAGAUCUGAAGGAAUACCAGUGGCGAAGGCGGCCUCCUGGACAAAGACUGACGCUCAGAUGCGAAAGCGUGGGGAGCAAACAGGAUUAGAUACCCUGGUAGUCCACGCUGUAAACGAUGUCUAUUAGGAGUCUGUGCCCUUGAGGCGUGGGUUCCAAAGCUAACGCAUUAAAUAGACCGCCUGGGGAGUACGGCCGCAAGGUUAAAACUCAUAUGAAUUGACGGGGGCCCGCACAAGCGGUGGAGCAUGUGGUUUAAUUCGAUGCAACGCGAAGAACCUUACCAUCCCUUGACAUCCACGGAAGCUUUGAGAGAUCGAAAGUGUGCCUUCGGGAACCGUGAGACAGGUGCUGCAUGGCUGUCGUCAGCUCGUGUUGUGAAAUGUUGGGGUUAAGUCCCGCAACGAGCGCAACCCUUGUCCUUAGUUGCCAGCGCGUAAUGGCGGGAACUCUAGGGAGACUGCCGGUGAUUAACCGGAGGAAGGUGGGGACGACGUCCAGUCAUCAUGGCCCUUACGGGAUGGGGCUACACACGUGCUACAAUGGUCGGUACAAAGGGUUGCGAGCUCGCGAGAGUCAGCCAAUCCCAUAAAGCCGGUCGUAGUCCGGAUUGGAGUCUGCAACUCGACUCCAUGAAGUCGGAAUCGCUAGUAAUCGUGAAUCAGAAUGUCACGGUGAAUACGUUCCCGGGCCUUGUACACACCGCCCGUCACACCAUGGGAGUGGGCCCCACCAGAACUCAUUAGACUUAACCUUCGGGAAGGCGAUGACCACGGUGUGGUUCAUGACUGGGGUGAAGUC
rnacentral:rRNA from 1 species